rnacentral:lncRNA from 1 species
CCAAUCAUCUGUCUGACUGACAGUCUCAUCGUAGAGGUAAACCAAUCAUCUGGCUGACAGGAUCAUCGUAGAGGCUUCCAUGUUUUCUCCCUGGACCUCCUCAAUGUCCACCUCUUAAACAUCAGACUCUGAGGCCUCAUCUUCACUGUCACUUUCCAACCUUGUUGAGGAAGGCUCGUUGUCAGGCUCAAAAAGCCUUGUAUUGGUCAGCCUGUUGCGUGCAUUGGUGUGUGUGUUCCCAAACAAGGACCAGUUGCGCUCUGAGUUGAUGGAGGCAACAGGAGAAAGAGCCUCAGAUCCACAAAUUCCCUUCCACCAGGUGGCUGAUGAGAUAUGUUGGCGCUACUGCCAUAUUGCAUCUCCCACCCAAAGCCCUUGCUUGGAAGUGUACUUCACCAGACUGCCAAAAACCUUGCCCUCAUCCAGGUCAAGGUGACGAGACACGGUAGUGAUGACACCAUAGGCCUUGUUGAUAUCUGCACCAGACAGGAUGCUCUCGCCAGCAUGCUUGAGGUCCAACAUGUACACUGCGGCGUGUAUGG